rnacentral:lncRNA from 1 species
GAAUGACCCCUUUGCAGAACAGCAGACAACUUCAACAGAUCCAUUUGGAGGGGAUCCUUUCAAAGAAAGUGACCCAUUCCGUGGCUCUGCCACUGACGACUUCUUCAAGAAACAGACAAAGAAUGACCCAUUUACCUCGGAUCCAUUCACGAAAAACCCUUCCUUACCUUCGAAGCUCGACCCCUUUGAAUCCAGUGAUCCCUUUUCAUCCUCCAGUGUCUCCUCAAAAGGAUCAGAUCCCUUUGGAACCUUAGAUCCCUUCGGAAGUGGGUCCUUCAAUAGUGCUGAAGGCUUUGCCGACUUCAGCCAGAUGUCCAAGGAAUGAAGGAAAGCAGAUGAGGUGUGUCCCGUCCCUGACACCUGCGUCCACUCUGUCCCUUCUCGGCAGCCCCCAGGCAGGGGCAGAUGGGCUCUGUCUUCGGGGGGCUGCAGGGGCCUGCUUU